CACGUGACGCGCUCCAGUAACGUGACUGUCUGGAGAAACGGGAAGUUCGUGAUUCUCUCAGCUGUUACAACUUCAUUCUUUCCAGAAGACACGCCGCGCGCUCCGUUAGAAAACAUUCAUAUCCAGACGGUAAACGUGAACCCCUGUCGCUGUCGGUGUCGGUGUGUUAUCAUCCGGUCAUGGGCUCUCUGUUCCGCAGUGAAGAGGUCUGUCUGGUUCAGAUCUUCCUCCAGACGGGAUCGGCCUACAACUGUGUCAGUGAACUGGGAGAGCUGGGAAUCGUGGAGUUCAGAGAUCUGAAUCCAAAUGUGAACGCGUUCCAGAGGAAGUUUGUGAACGAGGUGAGGAGAUGUGAGGAACUGGAGAAAACCUUUGGUGAGUCUGUCCCUCCUCAACUCCCAUGAUCCUGCACUCCUUCUUUCUAUUCACCCGGUUUCAUUAUUUCACACGU